rnacentral:lncRNA from 1 species
CUGAUACUAAUCAGGGAGUACAGGUAUUUAUAUUUAAAAUUCCAGUAGUUAUAUUUAAUGAGCAUACCUACGUUCCCUUUUCAUUAAAGUAGCUUUCAUUUCUAUUAUUCCGUUUUACUGAUAGGAACAAAUAGGAGGUCUGUGUGAGCAGACACUCAGAGCCCAGUCCUUAGGCCUUUGCCUUCUUUCUCAUGAGUUUGCCGUUUUCACUUCCCGUGGGUUCUUGUACCUUGAGUGGGAGGAGUCUUAGCGUGACACAGGGCGGUCCGUGGUGGGAUGCGAUGUGAUUACUGAUUACUACCAAGCGCAGUGGCCAGCAGAUGGCCGAGAAUAGUCACUGCUCCGAGGAAGCUGGGAAAGGUCUAACAUCGACAUCAUCGUCAGUCACACAACUUCUAAUUCUCUGUACUUCUAGUCCUGACAAUGUAUUAAACACCCC